GGUGCUUGCACCGAGAUUCAACAUGGAACGAGUGGCGGACGGGUGAGUAACACGUGGGUAACCUGCCCUUAAGUGGGGGAUAACAUUUGGAAACAGAUGCUAAUACCGCAUAGAUCCAAGAACCGCAUGGUUCUUGGCUGAAAGAUGGCGUAAGCUAUCGCUUUUGGAUGGACCCGCGGCGUAUUAGCUAGUUGGUGAGGUAAUGGCUCACCAAGGCGAUGAUACGUAGCCGAACUGAGAGGUUGAUCGGCCACAUUGGGACUGAGACACGGCCCAAACUCCUACGGGAGGCAGCAGUAGGGAAUCUUCCACAAUGGACGCAAGUCUGAUGGAGCAACGCCGCGUGAGUGAAGAAGGCUUUCGGGUCGUAAAACUCUGUUGUUGGAGAAGAAUGGUCGGCAGAGUAACUGUUGUCGGCGUGACGGUAUCCAACCAGAAAGCCACGGCUAACUACGUGCCAGCAGCCGCGGUAAUACGUAGGUGGCAAGCGUUAUCCGGAUUUAUUGGGCGUAAAGCGAGCGCAGGCGGUUUUUUAAGUCUGAUGUGAAAGCCCUCGGCUUAACCGAGGAAGCGCAUCGGAAACUGGGAAACUUGAGUGCAGAAGAGGACAGUGGAACUCCAUGUGUAGCGGUGAAAUGCGUAGAUAUAUGGAAGAACACCAGUGGCGAAGGCGGCUGUCUGGUCUGUAACUGACGCUGAGGCUCGAAAGCAUGGGUAGCGAACAGGAUUAGAUACCCUGGUAGUCCAUGCCGUAAACGAUGAAUGCUAGGUGUUGGGAGGGUUUCCGCCCUUCAGUGCCGCAGCUAACGCAUUAAGCAUUCCGCCUGGGGGAGUACGACCGCAAGGUUGAAACUCAAAGGAAUUGACGGGGGCCCGCACAAGCGGUGGAACCAUGGUGGUUUAAUUCGAAGCAACGCGAAGAACCUUACCAGGUCUUGACAUCUUUUGAUCACCUGAGAAGAUCAGGUUUCCCCUUCGGGGGCAAAAUGACAGGUGGGGGCAAGGGUUGUCCUCAGCUCCUGUCGUGAGAAGUUUGGGGUUAAAUCCCCCCACCAAGCGCACCCCUUAUUAACAAGUUGCCCGCCAUUUUAGUUGGGGCCUCCUAUUAAAACAUGCCGGUGAAAACCCAAGAAAGAGGGGGGGGGGGAGGGGCCCAAACAUCACUGGCCCUUUUUUAACUGGGGGUGACACCCCGGUCAC
rnacentral:rRNA from 2 species